rnacentral:rRNA from 1 species
UAAGACGAAGGGGGCUAGCGUUGUUCGGAAUUACUGGGCGUAAAGCGAGUGUAGGUGGUUGUCGUAGUCAGGCGUGAAAGCCUUGAGCUCAACUCAAGAAAUGCGCUUGAUACUGGGCAGCUAGAGGACCGGAGAGGAUAGUGGAAUUCCCAGUGUAGUGGUGAAAUACGUAGAGAUUGGGAAGAACACCAGUGGCGAAGGCGGCUAUCUGGACGGUUUCUG